CAUCGUGAGGUGGAAUCUGAAGGAAGUCGGAUGCUCAAACCUCUGGUCUGACGAACAGAAAUCACAUAUAAGGCAUGGCAUAUCGGGUAAGGUUGCUACACAAACUAAAGUCCUAUAACUAUCCGAAGAUAUGCUGUGUAAAUGUGGCAGAUAGGUGGAGGAAAAGAUU
rnacentral:ncRNA from 1 species